UACGAAGGUGGCAAGCGUUGUUCGGAUUUACUGGGCGUACAGGGAGCGUAGGCGGUUGGAUAAGCCCUCCGUGAAAUCUCCAGGCUUAACCUGGAAAGUGCAGAGGGGACUGUUCAGCUAGAGGAUUGGAGAGGAGCGCGGAAUUCCCGGUGUAGCGGUGAAAUGCGUAGAGAUCGGGAGGAAGGCCGGUGGCGAAGGCGGCGCUCUGGAACAUUUCUGACGCUGAGGCUCGAAAGCGUGGGGAGCAAACAGG
rnacentral:rRNA from 1 species